CGGAAAGCGAGCCGAUCGGCGGGUCGGUGAAAUGUAUUUUCAACUCAUGUCCCUAAAGAGCACACUGACUGAAACCCUUCCACCCGAGAUACCAGGAAACACCAAAACCGUCCUUUGGCGCAACGCUGUCUCCAAGGCAACGGUCGAAGCUGACCUCGCCUCGUUUGAACCAUGACGGCCGACGGUCUCGCGCACAGCAGCUGUAAACAUGCACCAGGUGGAUUGAAAAUGGAACCAACAGACGUGCAUUUGGGUCUCAAGCGGGGCGAAGGGCCUGCAGGAGAACACUUCACAAUUACCACCAAAGUCUGGCUGACUAAUGUAAAAAAAAAAAAAGAGCAUCGUCGUAGAAGAUGGCAGCUUUCGCUGAAAGCGUCUCCUGUGUUUAUGCAGAGCCAAAAAUAUAACACAGGCUACCAAACAAAUAUCGGCGUAUGUGAGCUUCAUAAUUAACGAGGAGAGACCAGUGAUGCGCUCCGGUGUUGCGCUGAUGUCCCCGAAAUUGAAGUAUUGAUCGCAGGCGGUGCCCGUGUCAAGAUGGUGGAGCGCGGAUUCACUCGGAAAAAUGAGGGUCAAAGAAUACAGAGUAUUUUGCCCUGUAUUAGAAAUGUAUAAUUAAUCCUUUGGCGGUGGAAGCUUGUAUUUGCUAGAAAAAAACAAGCAUUCAUACUACUUUUGAAGUUCAAAAUAUGUUGAUGAUUUCUUGUAUGAACCUUAUCCGUGGUGAUCAAUCACAGGGCCGAUCAAUGGUUUGCAUACAAGCCGGAGACCCCCCCCAGAGACCUGAAGCUAAAGCAGGUCCGCCGCUCGCUGUGUUUGAUGUCUUUUGUCAUUAAAGGUCAAAGUAAAGCUCCUGACAAAUCUGUUGGUCAGAAAAUGCUGAUGGUGCGAUCUCCCGUUGCCCGCCCACCCGUCCCCCCCCUCUCUCUCUCUCUCUCUCUCUCUCUCUCUCUCUCUCUCUCUCACAGCACUAUUUGUCUCGUCCUAUGAAUUAUGCAUAUGAUUAAUUAGGCUGGUCAUUACAGUACAUGGUCAUCUGGAAACUCCCCUUUGUUCUAGUUCAAACAUAAAAUGGGCCCGUUUCUUCCCCCCCCCCCCACACCAUCCCUCUCGCCCGCCGCCAUUGUCGGCCGCGUGUUAUGGAUGAGAGGGAGGGCCCCGGGUAUUUGUUGUACCCCUCGGGAUGCUGCGUGGUGUUGCGCAGGGGGGGAAUACAAUGAAAUAACAAGAUAACAAGAUAAAAGCCUCGUGUCGG
ensembl:lncRNA